GAUGAACGCUGGCGGCGUGCCUAACACAUGCAAGUCGAACGCUUUGUCUUUACUUGAUCUGAAGUGCUUGCGCUGAUUUGAUUUUAUUUGCUAAAGAGUGGCGAACGAGUGAGUAAUACGUGGGUAACCUACCUCUUAGUAGGGGAUAACAUCUGGAAACAAGUGCUAAUAACGUUUAAAACUAACAACAGCAUGUUUGCCAGUUGAAAGAUGGCUAUGCUAUCACUUAGAGACGGACCCAGGCCGCAUUAGCUAGCUGGUAGGGUAAUGGACUACGAAGGAGACGAUCAGUAACGGGGACGAGAGGAUGAUAGGUAACAGUGGCAAUGAGAUACGGUAAAGACUGCUAAGGGAGGCAGAAGUGGGGAAUAUUGGAAAAUGGGAGAAAGACUGAUACAGCCAUGAAGCGGGUGUGAAGAAGGUCUUCGGAUUGUAAAGCACUUUAAGUUGGGAGGAAGGGAAGUAAGUUCAAACCUAGAUGUUUUGACGUUAACAACAGAAUAAGAACGGGCUAAAUUCGUG
rnacentral:rRNA from 1 species